ensembl:lincRNA Gm29345 predicted gene 29345
CGGCCUCUCUUUUGGUCCAGCUAGCGAUGUCUUCAUCUAUUUCUCCCCUUUUCCCUGGUCUCUCUACUUUUGACAUCCUUGAGGCUGAUAGUGUUUGUCAGGGUUCCCACAAUGGGGCUAAGAUUUUCGUCACUUCUCAACCCUGAUGUCAGGGAGCUGUCAGAAACUCAUCAGAAAUGGAAAACGGGGAACUUUCUCCUCACAGCAGGAAGUCCUUGUCCGGGAAUAAUGAGCAAAGAUGAAAUCAUCACAAGCCAUCUAAAAGGCAGCGGCUCUCUCUGAACCUGGAGCUCACCAUUGCAUCUGACUGGCUGGCAGUGCAUUCCAGGGAUCUGUCUGCCUCUGCUUCCUCAGCUCUGAGCUUGCAGACAUAUGCUCUUUUAGUAGUUUUGUUUUCUU